UAAAAAUAAACUAGCACCAAUAUAUUUUACUUGACUAUUUAUUAAUUUAUACAGGUAACUUAGGUUUAAUUUAUGAAUUCAACAGGUGUGCGGGCGACUGAGUAAUGUGGAGUGGCAAGCUGGCGGACCUCCACGUGUCGUAAUCGUGGUGAACUCUUCUGUAAAGCACAGCGGUUUUGGUGGCACAGGACCCGAUGUGGAUGACAGAGGCGUCGGGUUCGAUUCCCGGACUGACAAACUACUUAGACGUGUUGCACAGGACGAGGAACGGAGAGGAGGAUUCUCAAGGGCACAAACAGAAGUUACCUGCCCAAGGAGGAUGAAAACAGCAGCCAGGUGUCCAGAUGAUGAACCAACACCAAGUUAGUCAAGAGG